rnacentral:rRNA from 1 species
GAAUUUUGGACAAUGGGCGAAAGCCUGAUCCAGCAAUGCCGCGUGCAGGAUGAAGGCCUUCGGGUUGUAAACUGCUUUUGUACGGAACGAAAAGCUUUGGGUUAAUACCCUGGAGGCAUGACGGUACCGUACGACAACGGACCGGCUAACUCCGUGCCACACACCGCGGUAACACGUAGGGUGCAAGCGUUAAUCGGAAUUACUGGGCGUAAAGCGUGCGCAGGCGGUUUUGUAAGACAGAGGUGAAAUCCCCGGGCUCAACCUGGGAACUGCCUUUGUGACUGCAAGGCUAGAGUACGGCAGAGGGGGGUGGAAUUCCGCGUGUAGCAGUGAAAUGCGUAGAUAUGCGGAGGAACACCGAUGGCGAAGGCAACCCCCUGGGCCUGUACUGACGCUCAUGCACGAAAGCGUGGGGAGCAAAC